rnacentral:rRNA from 1 species
UACGGAGGGGGCUAGCGUUGUUCGGAAUUACUGGGCGUAAAGCGCGCGUAGGCGGCUUUGUAAGUUAGAGGUGAAAGCCCGGAGCUCAACUCCAGAAUUGCCUUUAAGACUGCAUCGCUAGAAUCAUGGAGAGGUGAGUGGAAUUCCGAGUGUAGAGGUGAAAUUCGUAGAUAUUCGGAAGAACACCAGUGGCGAAGGCGACUCACUGGACAUGUAUUGACGCUGAGGUGCGAAAGCGUGGGGAGCAAACAGG